rnacentral:rRNA from 1 species
UCGCACCUACCGAUUGGAUGGUCCGGUGAGGAGUCGGGAUUGCGGCUUGGUUCCUUUAUUGGGAGUUGGCUGUGAGAACUUGUCUAAACCUUAUCAUUUAGAGGAAGGUG